rnacentral:rRNA from 1 species
CCUACGGGGGGCUGCAGUAAGGAAUAUUGGUCAAUGGAGGAAACUCUGAACCAGCCAUCCCGCGUGAAGGAUGAAGGGUCUCUGCCUUUUAAACUUCUUUUGUCUGGGGCGAAAAAGCUCGAUUUAUCGAGAACUGACGGUACCAGAAGAAUAAGCCCCGGCUAACUCCGUGCCAGCAGCCGCGGUCAUACGGAGGGUGCAGGAGUUAUCCGGAAUCACUGGGUUUAAGGCGGCUUUGGACGGCUGUGGUGAAAGGCUGUGGCUUAACCAUGGAAUUGCCAUUGAGACUGCAGAGCUUGAAUGAGGUUGAGGUUGGCGGAAUGUGACAUGUAGCGGUGAAAUGCUUAGAUAUGUCAUGGAACACCGAUUGCGAAGGCAGCUGACUGGACCUAUAUUGACGCUGAGGCACGAAAGCGUGGGGAGCGAACAGGAUUAGAUACCCUAGUAGUC